AUUGCACGCUGGCGGCAGGCCUAACACAUGCAAGUCGACCGAGUGGCGGACGUGUGAGUAAUGUCUGGGAAACUGCCUGAUGGAGGGGGAUAACUACUGUAAACGGUAGCUAAUACCGCAUACCAUCGGAUGUGCCCACAUGGGAUUAGCUAGUAGGUGGGGUAACGGCUCACCUAGGCGACGAUCCCUAGCUGGUCUGAGAGGAUGACCAGCCAAACUGGAACGGAGACACGGGCCAGACUCCGACGGGAGGCAGCAGGGGGGAAUAAUGGACAAUGGGCGCAAGCCUGAUGCAGCCAUGCCGCGUGUAUGAAGAAGGCCUUCGGGUGGUAAAGUACUUUCAGCGGGGAGGCGUUACCCGCAGAAGAAGCACCGGAUAACUACGUGCCAGCCGCCGCGGUAAUAC
rnacentral:rRNA from 1 species